GACGAACGCUGGCGGCGUGCUUAACACAUGCAAGUCGAACGGUGAAGCUCCAGCUUGCUGGAGUGGAUCAGUGGCGAACGGGUGAGUAACACGUGAGCAACCUGCCCCUGACUCUGGAAUAAGCGCUGGAAACGGCGUCUAAUACUGGAUACGAGAAGGGUCCGCAUGGGCACUUUCUGGAAAGUUUUUCGGUUGGGGAUGGGCUCGCGGCCUAUCAGCUUGUUGGUGAGGUAAUGGCCCACCAAGGCGAGGACGGGUAGCCGGCCUGAGAGGGCGACCGGCCACACUGGGACUGAGACACGGCCCAGACUCCUACGGGAGGCAGCAGUGGGGAAUAUUGCACAAUGGGCGAAAGCCUGAUGCAGCGACGCCGCGUGAGGGAUGACGGCCUUCGGGUUGUAAACCUCUUUCAGCAGGGAAGAAGCGAAAGUGACGGUACCUGCAGAAGAAGCACCGGCUAACUACGUG
rnacentral:rRNA from 1 species